rnacentral:rRNA from 1 species
UACGUAGGGCGCGAGCGUUGUCCGGAAUUAUUGGGCGUAAAGAGCUCGUAGGUGGCUUGUUGCGUCUGCCGUGAAAGCCCGUGGCUUAACUCCGGGUCUGCGGUGGAUACGGGCAGGCUAGAGGCUGGUAGGGGCAAGCGGAAUUCCUGGUGUAGCGGUGAAAUGCGCAGAUAUCAGGAGGAACACCGGUGGCGAAGGCGGCUUGCUGGGCCAGUUCUGACGCUGAGGAGCGAAAGCGUGGGGAGCGAACAGG